CUUGGAAGAGCCCCUAUAAGAAGCUUGUGACUGCAGAAUAUGUCAAUGAGAAAUCAGUAGGCCGACAUGCUACGUCUACAAAGAUUCAGUUGUUUCCUUUUUGGGAAACCCUAAAAGGAGAAUGGCAUAAUUGACCAGUGAAGCUAAAGUAAUUGGUGGAAAUGUUUUCAUCUCCUGGCUACACCAAAUGAACAAAUUCCAACUCUUUAAAAGAAGAGAAAAAUCAAAGUUAUCAUGCCAGGUGAUCUCACCCUGGGGAA